GCGCGCCUGACCAGGCUGACUGGAAACGGUAGCUCUUAACGGUUCCCCGCCCGUCGGUGGCAAGGCGGCUGGACUAGAAUCCCAGCAGACGACAUGCGAGGAGGCGGGCAACCCAGGAGUGUUGGGCAGAGCAGUGUGGACCUCGCCGCUUCCACAGCGAUGCUGGCUACUGAUCGCGGGCACCUCCUUGCCAUAGGAAGUUUGUGCUGUGCACUAACAUGUAAUUCAAAUACUGAUGAAAACAAAACUGGUGCCUUCCUACCAAGUGGCCAGUUCUUGGAGAUACUAGGAAGCCAAGAGUUCCCUCCAAGAAUGGAGAUUCCUUGGAAGUGAGGUUCACCUUGAGUCAAGAAAGAUGAAUCACAUGUGGUCAAAGGUCAUUCACAGCCAGAAAGAAGAGCUGGGGCCGACGGGAUUGUGGGGGUCCUCUCUCCCUCUCUCCCACCUGAAAAGCUACUGCUGCCUGCCAAUCCUCUCAAGAGGAGACCUCUCUGGGCUCCAGCACCUAAAACAGACAAACCUGGGAGGAUGCUUCUCUCUUCUGUGUCACACGUGUCCUGGAGAAAACCAGUGUAUCUGAAUGACCAAAGAAAAGUGUGAGAAAAAGUGCAAAAUCUGUGCCAGGCCAUUCAGUGUCUGGAUGGGGCUCUGUGGUACACAUGCAUUCCAAGAAGACUGGAGAGUGCCAAGCCUGUGGGAAAUGUCCCUCAGACCUGCCUCUCACACCUGGAGUAUGACUGCCGGUCCAGGUUCAUGAUGCAGAACUGUCUUUAAAAGGUGACUGCGGAUAUGGAGAGAGGGAUUUCUAACCCUGAUAGAACAUGACCAGCUGUUUCACUGGGGAAAGCCACAUCCACCAGUGACAUGCUGCUCAAACUGGCCCAGGACACACUCUACUACCUAAGGAAUAAGCCCCACAUUUGCUCUUUGUGAGUGAAAGGAGAGGGUGAGAGAGGAGAGGAGUGUCCGCACAGACAUGAGAAGCCUGCAGAUCCAGAUGACCCCUUGCUGAUCAGAAUAUGAAAGAUUGACUUGUGAAAACAAUGACCCCAUAGCAGACAGAUAAGCUUCUAGAGCAGGCUUCAACCAUGCGUCAUCCAGACCCACUGGCAGAGAAGUCUGCCCCCACUCUAUGUUGAUGGUCUGGGGGAUACCAUUACUGAGACAGAUUUAAGAAAUAAUC
rnacentral:lncRNA from 1 species